GAAAGACGGGUGAGAAUCCCGUCCACCGAUUGACUAAGGUUUCCAGAGGAAGGCUCGUCCGCUCUGGGUUAGUCGGGUCCUAAGCUGAGGCCGACAGGCGUAGGCGAUGGAUAACAGGUUGAUAUUCCUGUACCACCUAUAAUCGUUUUAAUCGAUGGGGGGACGCAGUAGGAUAGGCGAAGCGUGCGAUUGGAUUGCACGUCUAAGCAGUAAGGCUGAGUAUUAGGCAAAUCCGGUACUCGUUAAGGCUGAGCUGUGAUGGGGAGAAGACAUUGAGUCUUCGAGUCGUUGAUUUCACACUGCCGAGAAAAGCCUCUAGAUAGAAAAUAGGUGCCCGUACCGCAAACCGACACAGGUAGUCAAGAUGAGAAUUCUAAGGUGAGCGAGCGAACUCUCGUUAAGGAACUCGGCAAAAUGACCCCGUAACUUCGGGAGAAGGGGUGCUCUUUAGGGUUAACGCCCAGAAGAGCCGCAGUGAAUAGGCCCAAGCGACUGUUUAUCAAAAACACAGGUCUCUGCUAAACCGUAAGGUGAUGUAUAGGGGCUGACGCCUGCCCGGUGCUGGAAGGUUAAGAGGAGUGGUUAGCUUCUGCGAAGCUACGAAUCGAAGCCCCAGUAAACGGCGGCCGUAACUAUAACGGUCCUAAGGUAGCGAAAUUCCUUGUCGGGUAAGUUCCGACCCGCACGAAAGGCGUAACGAUUUGGGCACUGUCUCAACGAGAGACUCGGUGAAAUCAUAGUACCUGUGAAGAUGCAGGUUACCCGCGACAGGACGGAAAGACCCCGUGGAGCUUUACUGUAGCCUGAUAUUGAAAUUCGGCACAGCUUGUACAGGAUAGGUAGGAGCCUUUGAAACGUGAGCGCUAGCUUACGUGGAGGCGCUGGUGGGAUACUACCCUAGCUGUGUUGGCUUUCUAACCCGCACCACUUAUCGUGGUGGGAGACAGUGUCAGGCGGGCAGUUUGACUGGGGCGGUCGCCUCCUAAAAGGUAACGGAGGCGCUCAAAGGUUCCCUCAGAAUGGUUGGAAAUCAUUCAUAGAGUGUAAAGGCAUAAGGGAGCUUGACUGCGAGACCUACAAGUCGAGCAGGGUCGAAAGACGGACUUAGUGAUCCGGUGGUUCCGCAUGGAAGGGCCAUCGCUCAACGGAUAAAAGCUACCCCGGGGAUAACAGGCUUAUCUCCCCCAAGAGUUCACAUCGACGGGGAGGUUUGGCACCUCGAUGUCGGCUCAUCGCAUCCUGGGGCUGUAGUCGGUCCCAAGGGUUGGGCUGUUCGCCCAUUAAAGCGGUACGCGAGCUGGGUUCAGAACGUCGUGAGACAGUUCGGUCCCUAUCCGUCGUGGGCGUAGGAAAUUUGAGAGGAGCUGUCCUUAGUACGAGAGGACCGGGAUGGACAUACCUCUGGUGUACCAGUUGUCGUGCCAACGGCAUAGCUGGGUAGCUAUGUGUGGACGGGAUAAGUGCUGAAAGCAUCUAAGCAUGAAGCCCCCCUCAAGAUGAGAUUUCCCAACUUCGGUUAUAAGAUCCCUCAAAGAUGAUGAGGUUAAUAGGUUCGAGGUGGAAGCAUGGUGACAUGUGGAGCUGACGAAUACUAAUCGAUCGAAGACUUAAUCAAAA
rnacentral:rRNA from 1 species